rnacentral:rRNA from 1 species
CCUACGGGAGGCAGCAGUGGGGAAUAUUGGGCAAUGGGCGCAAGCCUGACCCAGCAACGCCGCGUGCAGGAAGAAGGCUUUCGGGUUGUAAACUUCUUUUAAGGGGGAAGAGCAGAAGACGGUACCCCUUGAAUAAGCCACGGCUAACUACGUGCCAGCAGCCGCGGUAAUACGUAGGUGGCAAGCGGUGUUCGGAUUUACUGGGUGUAAAGGGCGUGCAGCCGGAGAGACAAGUCAGACGUGAAAUCCACGGGCACAACCCGUGAACUGCAUUUGAAACUGUUUCCCUUGAGUGUCGGAGAGGUAAUCGGAAUUCGUGGUGUAGCGGUGAAAUGCGUAGAUAUAAGGAAGAACACCAGUGGCGAAGGCGGAUUACUGGACGAUAACUGACGGUGAGGCGCGAAGGCGUGGGGAGCAAACAGGAUUAGAUACCCGAGUAGUC